rnacentral:rRNA from 1 species
AACAAGAGAUAGCUCAAAAACCUAAUUACCCUUAAAAUUACUUAAUAAUUUAAAACAAAACAUUUAUACCAAUUAUAGUAUAGG